ACGUAGGGGGCGAGCGUUGUCCGGAUUUAUUGGGCGUAAAGAGCGUGUAGGCGGCUUCACAGGUCUGCUGUGAAAACUCGAGGCUCAACCUCGAGCUGUCGGUGGAAACCGUGUGGCUAGAGUCCGGAAGAGGAGAGUGGAAUUCCCGGUGUAGCGGUGAAAUGCGCAGAUAUCGGGAAGAACACCCGUGGCGAAGGCGGCUCUCUGGGACGGUACUGACGCUGAGGCGCGAAAGCCAGGGGAGCGAACGGGA
rnacentral:rRNA from 1 species